GCCCUUGUCCUUCUCAGUGACCUGCUGCUGACCCUGAGCUACCAGGUCCCCAAGGAGGACACAAGCUGCUCCUUCUCAUUCCUGAGCCCGUCUGCAGCCAAAGUUUGCUCCUUGGUGGGAGUGGCCUCGUUUGUUUCUCGUUGUGGAGCAGCCCAAAAUGUUCAAACGAUCCAAAAAUUCCAAAAAGCAUCGGCCCUACAUGUACUUUUCUCUCCUGGUCCCUUGGGGCGGGGUCUCUGCGCUCCUGUUGUGGUUGACAAACCCAUCCAGAUGCUGGACUCCUCCCUUGAAGUGCAGAGUCUGUGGAAGGCCACCAGCAGUUCUGGGGCCCGCCCUCGGGGGCUCGGUGCAGCCCUGGAUCACAGACUGGGCACACAAGCCUGUGGGUGUGGCCACAGCACAGAGGCUUUUCAGCCUCUUAUGGGGUCUCUUGGAGCUAUUUCAGAAGCACCUGGACACAUACAGCUGGGCAGAGACGCUCCUGAGUUCAUCUGCCGCGCCCUCGACUCUACCUGGCCGCUGGCUCACAGCCUGGUGCUUAAGCCACCCACCUGAUCCACAGCUGGUGGUCUGGAGCCCUGCCCCUUUCUCUAAGCCCCGCCCCCCGGAAUGGACCGGUGUCAGCGCAGAAGCCAGAGGCCAGACAGGACCGAUGAGAAAGAGGCUGCCAGCACUUCCCCAAUCUCUGCUGCCCACUCCUGCUCGUCAGGUUCUGCAAGAUCCCCGUGGAGCCAAGCAGGCGAUGUCCUUCCACGUUCCCUCUCAGGACCGACUGAGUCUGAUGAAGGUGCGCCCCGCGGGGGCGGCCCUGA
rnacentral:lncRNA from 1 species